UGGGGAUUAGUGGCGAACGGGUGAGUAACACGUGGGCAAUCUGCCCUGCACUCUGGGACAAGCCCUGGAAACGGGGUCUAAUACCGGAUACUGAUCAUCUUGGGCAUCCUUGAUGAUCGAAAGCUCCGGCGGUGCAGGAUGAGCCCGCGGCCUAUCAGCUUGUUGGUGAGGUAACGGCUCACCAAGGCGACGACGGGUAGCCGGCCUGAGAGGGCGACCGGCCACACUGGGACUGAGACACGGCCCAGACUCCUACGGGAGGCAGCAGUGGGGAAUAUUGCACAAUGGGCGAAAGCCUGAUGCAGCGACGCCGCGUGAGGGAUGACGGCCUUCGGGUUGUAAACCUCUUUCAGCAGGGAAGAAGCGAAAGUGACGGUACCUGCAGAAGAAGCGCCGGCUAACUACGUGCCAGCAGCCGCGGUAAUACGUAGGGCGCAAGCGUUGUCCGGAAUUAUUGGGCGUAAAGAGCUCGUAGGCGGCUUGUCGCGUCGGAUGUGAAAGCCCGGGGCUUAACCCCGGGUCUGCAUUCGAUACGGGCAGGCUAGAGUUCGGUAGGGGAGAUCGGAAUUCCUGGUGUAGCGGUGAAAUGCGCAGAUAUCAGGAGGAACACCGGUGGCGAAGGCGGAUCUCUGGGCCGAUACUGACGCUGAGGAG
rnacentral:rRNA from 1 species